rnacentral:ribozyme from 1 species
UGCCCAGCAACUCCUAUCCCUACCUCCUCGCGGUACCGGCCGGAAACUAUGAGCAACCUUAGGGAAGAUCGGGUAACCAAUCCCGGUGGGACCUUUGGUCGUAGGCUGACAGGGAAGG